rnacentral:lncRNA from 1 species
UCAGAUCGAACCGAGCGCUUGUCGCCGGAGUUGGCAGGGUUGGUCGCCACCAUCGCCUGAGAAGAACCAAAUCCUACCAAGUUAUCGUGCGAUUCGUAGCAGUACGGUAACAAUUGGUAUCAGAGACAACAUCCUGGCGCCUCACGCUCACCAAACUCGUCUCCAGAUCACCAUGAAGACCCAUCCUUUCCAUGCUUGAAGAGAACAACAAGGGGAUGAUCGAAUUGAAGUUGGUGAUAAGGGAGAUGACUACUGCAAAGGAGGAGUUCGAGAAGUGGAAGCCCAAGGUCAAGAAAAAUGUCUCUGAUCUGCAGCAGGCUCUCUCAGAUCUCGGUGAUCGUGUUGAGCAGCUCUCCGCCGACGUCCGGCAACCUUAUCGACCACCCCGAGCCACCACCAUCUCCGGUGAAGGAGCUCAAGCAGGC